CAGUCUCACGGUGAUCGAAGGAACACAUUCCAGCCUGAGCUCCCAUCCUGGCAGAUCCGGAAGGUGGGUGGUGGAAACAAAGGGAGAAAGGACUGUAACCCGGUAGGGACUGGCAGCAUCGCUGGAAAGAGAGAGAGACAGGGAGCAAUUCCAAAAAUGCACACUAGGCAUUCGGAGCGCUUUCAGAAAUCGCUGAUCGAAAGUGCAUCGAAGGUGUUUUCUCUCUCUCCCAAAAUCAACGAAAAUGAUCACCAGCAUCCAAUGUCCUUUGUGUGUUUUAGGUAUGAGGAGUAAAUUGGCUGAGACAAAUUGGGACACAAGAUUAAGGAUUGUCCUGAAGAUUGAUCUUCUAUUCUUUGAAUUUCCAGAAAAGCCUGGAGAGUCGAUAAUGCUUAGACUAUUGAUAACAUGGAGAGAGAC